UUUAGAUAUUGAUAUAUUGCAAGCACUGUCUAUCGAACCAAGUUUGAAAGUUGCUGCAUGUAGAGACCUAUAGGCUAACUAUUCUAAAAUCCGCAUCUGCGAACAUACACGUAAGUGUUAGAAUAAUGGUAACUACGUUAUUAAAAUCCGAGGUGAUAUGAGCUAAUCAAGAAUUCUGGUUUCCAACGCUAUCUGGAGGAGAGUCAAUCCACGCUUACGGUUAACAGGACUGCGUAACAUCGGUAGCUACAUAUACUCUACUACAAGAUUCGGACCUUUCAUCUCGACAUGAUUGAAUGAUCAGAGGAUCUUAAAAAUUCACUUACUACUUAAGAAGUUCUGCGAUGACUCCAAAAUCCUCGUCCGAAAUUUAGAUUGAAAUUGAAGGUGGAUGAUUCGUAAAUGAUUGAAAAUAAAGUAAGUCGAAGUUGUUAAAAAUCCUCUUCAAUGAUGCAUUGAUUCUAACCAUUACUAAAAGUAACUGCGAUAGUUACUUUUUAAUAAACGAUCAUUGAAGUUAAUUC